UGAAUUUACACUUAAUAAAAUCAGCUCAGUAAUGCUAGUCAACUAAGCUACAUAGACAAUGAGAGGAAUAGCAUACAAUGUGUUCUGCUGAAAUUAAUACAUGUUUCUUAGAGUCUGCCAUCUGCACCCGGGAGCAGGAGGUGAGGCUGUUCCAGAGCCUGCUGUGCACGGGUCCCUAUUAGAAGAGAGCUAGUCUCCCAGAAGUGCUCAUACUCCCAGGCCAAGAGAGAAUUCCAGGUGAUUACCUUAUUCUCAACUUAUGAUAACACGUCAACCCUUUCUUCAGUAAAGGAGAUGUUUUGAGCAGAGAGCCACACAGACAUAACCUCAAGUCAUACAUACAGUAUUUCCAGGCUUGUCUGAGAAAUGUGGCAUGAUUCAUUCAUAUGCACGAUUAAAGAAGUGGUUUCCUCAAAA